rnacentral:rRNA from 1 species
GACGAACGCUGGUGGCGCGCCUAACACAUGCAAGUCGAACGAGAGAGGAAGAGCUUGCUUUUCCGAUCGAGAGGCGAACGGGUGAGUAACGCGUGAGGAACCUGCCUCAAAGAGGGGGACAACAGUUGGAAACGACUGCUAAUACCGCAUAAGCCCACGGCUCGGCAUCGAGCAGAGGGAGAAGGAGCAAUCCGCUUUGCGAUGGCCUCGCGUCCGAUUAGCUAGUUGGUGAGGUAACGGCCCACCAAGGCGACGAUCGGUAGCCGGACUGAGAGGUUGAACGGCCACAUUGGGGCUGAGACACGGCCCAGACUCCGACGGGAGGCAGCAGUGGGGAAUAUUGCACAAUGGGGGAAACCCUGAUGCAGCGACGCCGCGUGGAGGAAGAAGGUCUUCGGAUUGUAAACUCCUGUUGUUGAGGAAGAUAAUGACGGUACUCAACAAGGAAGUGACGGCUAACUACGUGCCAGCCGCCGCGGUAA